rnacentral:rRNA from 1 species
UAUAAAUUGAGAGUUUGAUCCUGGCUCAGGACGAACGCUGGCGGCGUGCCUAAUACAUGCAAGUCGAACGAAGCUUUUGAUCAAUAAAUGCUUGCAUUUAGCGAUUAAAAGACUGAGUGGCGAACGGGUGAGUAACACGUAGGCAACCUGCCCAAAAGAGGGGGAUAACACUUGGAAACAGGUGCUA